rnacentral:lncRNA from 1 species
GGAAAGAGUGCUUCACCGAUCCAAUUGCAGUCGAAUGUUGGGCUCUGAUUUUCAUCAUGGUGAAUAUUAUUUCUCUCUCCUUCCUGGUACACCAAUUUGUUGCAGCCAACUCUCCAUCGUCUGUCGUCGGGAACGAAUACUUGCAAGACAAUGUCCGCACUUACCAGAUUUGUGUUCGACGGAGACCCUCCAAUUUUAAGUUAGAGAGAAAAGUUAGUGAACAGUAGA